GCUGGGUGCGGUGGCGCACACCUGUAAUCCCAGCAGUUUGGGAGGCUGAGGCAGGAGGAUCACGAAUUCAAAGCCAGCCCCCGCAACUUGGCAAGGCCCUAAGCAACUUAAUAAGAUCCUGUCUCAA
rnacentral:sRNA from 1 species